rnacentral:snRNA from 1 species
GGAUAUGAGGGUGAUCUGGCUGUGACAUCUGUCACCCCACUGACCGCCAGGGUUGAUUAGGCUGAUCUGGCUAGCUAGGCUGUUAUCCCCUUCCUCCUUCACCACUCCUUGUGUGUCCCUCCUAAAGCUGUAUGCUCUCUGGAUCAAAGAGGACAGCCUUCCUGAAAUAGAUACAGACUGGUCUUCAGUCAAAGGUAUAUGGGUAGAGCUGCGCUACCCUGCUAGAACCUCCAAACAAACAAGCUAUUUAUUAUAAGAAAAUUAUUUUGUUAUGUUUUAUAAUAUAUUUUAUUAUUUUAAAAUAUA